rnacentral:lncRNA from 1 species
UUGACAGUUUGGCUUCCCUGUUCUGGGUGGCAAAGCCUGUGGAGUACUCACCUACCUGCUGCAUGAAGGCAGCAUGGAGGGACUGUGGUGGAUUAUCUGCAAAGAUGGCCAAAAUUCUCUCAUCCCUGCAGGCACAUACAAGAUGCCAGAAUCAGUCAAAACUAAGCUCACUGUCCUUGCUAAUAUUCUGCCCCAGAGAAGAACUGAAGCUCAGCUAUUCACCCUACAGAAAGCCUGAAUUUUGUAAAAGUUCUGCUUAGAAUGAGGAAGAAAGAUGAAGAAUGAGGAGGAAGAAGGGAGGAACAAGAGAGAGAGGUUGUUGCAUGGCAUAAGUAAAAUGACAGCCAAAGGAUACAUGCAACUUUUCAGGGACAAAGAUCUGUGCAGCAUCGACAGUACUGCCUAAUGAGGUUUCACCAUAAUGAAGUAUUACAACCAGUUUACAGACCAGAAAACUGAGACACAGGAAGGGGUGGUGACUUGAGCAAGGUGCAUCAGCUGCCAGGUUUCCAGAAGUUCCCCAGUCAUUGAGCAUUUCUGAGGCUCUUGAUGCAUAUGCCAAGUAGUUAUGGAGAAAGACACAGCAGCUUACCUCUGCAGGCAUCAUUGUGUGAAAGGAAGACCCAGGCUCUCUCACCACCCUUCAACAGAAGCCUUUUGCUAAGGUGAUAGCUACAUGUCCAAGCCUAUUGCGUGGCAUGCAUUUUGCCUUCUGCAGCCCACUAAAGGAAAUUGAGGUAUACGGAAUGCUUAUUUGGUUUACUCAGUAUCAUCCUAAAUGUAUGUACCAAUGCUUAGGAGUUUGCAGUUCACCCGCAAACCUCAGCGAUCCAAGCUCCCCUGGA